rnacentral:rRNA from 1 species
GAAGGGGACUAGCGUUGUUCGGAUUUACUGGGCGUAAAGCGCGCGUAGGCGGAGCACUAAGUCAGGGGUGAAAUCCCGAGGCUUAACCUCGGAACUGCCUUUGAUACUGGUGAUCUGGAGAUCGGGAGAGGUUGGUGGAAUUCCGAGUGUAGAGGUGAAAUGCGUAGAUAUCGAGAGGAACACCUGCGGCGAAGGCGUGUUGCUGGGCCGACACUGACGCUGAGGCGCGAAAGCCAGGGGAGCGAACGGGAUUAGAUACCCCGGUAGUCCUGGCCUUAAACGAUGGAUGCUUGGUGUCUGGAGUUUUAUAGUCUCCGGGUGCCGCAGCUAACGCGUUAAGCAUCCCGCCUGGGGAGUACGGUCACAAGACUG